rnacentral:rRNA from 1 species
UACGUAGGGGGCAAGCGUUGUCCGGAUUUAUUGGGCGUAAAGAGCGUGUAGGCGGCCGCACAGGUCCGUUGUGAAAACUGGAGGCUUAACCUUCAGACGUCGAUGGAAACCGUGCGGCUAGAGUCCGGAAGAGGAGAAUGGAAUUCCUGGUGUAGCGGUGAAAUGCGCAGAUAUCAGGAAGAACACCGGUGGCGAAGGCGGUUCUCUGGGCAUUACCUGACGCUGAGGAGCGAAAGUGUGGGGAGCGAACAGG